AACCCAGAGUGAACUGCCAUUAACCUGCUGGUAUACAUUACCUUCCAGCUUCUAGAGUCUGGGGGUGCCAAAAGGCACAGCACAGGGACUUUGGUCCCCUCUGAACUUCCAUCUCUACAACAAUGCCUGGCCCAUGGUAGGCGGGCAAUACAUUUUUGUUGAAUGAAUAAUAAAUCUUUCUAGGCUUUUUUUUUCCUUAUACAUACAUACCUGUAUUUAUCCAAUUAUCAUUUUUAUAAAAAUGGGGUCACCCUAUACCUAUUAUUUGAAAUCUAUUGUUUUAACUGAACAAUAGGUUUAGUGAUCUUUGUGGACAGUUGAUUUUUUUUUUAAGACUGUGGGGACUAACACACAUUCACACAUUCACAGUCUGCAGCGGAGAAAUCAGAGAUGAUGCAGGGGCAGAAGCAGGAGAUGUAAUAACUCAGUGAGGCCGGUGCCCUAAUCAAGAAGAGUCCAAUAAAAACAGGCUAAACUCUUCAAACAAAAGCAAUAUGUGGCUUGCAGUGGAAUUUUCAAAAUGUAUAAAAAAAGGUGUAAAAUGAAAACUGCAAGUCUCUUCCUACCCUGAAGCCUUGGUUGCUUCCUUCAUACAGAAUCACUUUAACAGUUCCUUGUGUAUCCUCCCAGAAAAAUGGUUUCAUGCCGAUCUCUGCUAUUAAAGAUUUUUUUUUUUAUGAAUGCAAUCUUUCUACACACAUCGUUUUGCAUUUUGCUUUUUACACUUAAAUUAUCAGAGAUAGUUUUCUGUUGCAGACUUAUCUCUUAUGGAAAAGACAAAAUAGUAUUCCAUUAUUUAGAUGAAUCUUGAUGUAGCUAAGCAAUCCUCUGUUAAUGGUCAUUUAGGUCGUGGUACCCAGACACACACACACAUGCAAUUAUCAAAACAACAAUACACUGGACACCCUUUUAAAUAUGUCUUGGUAUAAAUAUUCUGGGUCUCCAUUGGAGAAAUUCUUAACAGAAAAAUUGAAUGUGCAUUAACAUGUCAAUAGAUUUGGCCAAAUUGUCCUCCAAAAAUACUGUUUCAAUUGAUCUUCCCUCAGUGAUGUACAAGAGUGCCUGUGUCCUUAGAUCUUGGGC
rnacentral:lncRNA from 1 species